CAGCAGCCGCGGUAAUACGUAGGGUGCGAGCGUUAAUCGGAAUUACUGGGCGUAAAGCGUGCGCAGGCGGUUCGUUAAGACAGAUGUGAAAUCCCCGGGCUUAACCUGGGAACUGCAUUUGUGACUGUAUAGCUAGAGUACGGCAGAGGGGGAUGGAAUUCCGCGUGUAGCAGUGAAAUGCGUAGAUAUGCGGAGGAACACCGAUGGCGAAGGCAAUCCCCUGGGCCUGUACUGACGCUCAUGCACGAAAGCGUGGGGAGCAAACAGGAUUAGAUACCCCUGUAGUCCCUGUCUCUUAUAA
rnacentral:rRNA from 1 species